UACGUAGGGGGCAAGCGUUGUCCGGAUUUAUUGGGCGUAAAGAGCGUGUAGGCGGCCUUACAGGUCAGCUGUGAAAACUCGAGGCUCAACCUCGAGACGUCGGUUGAAACCGUAUGGCUAGAGUCCGGAAGAGGAGAGUGGAAUUCCCGGUGUAGCGGUGAAAUGCGCAGAUAUCGGGAAGAACACCCGUGGCGAAGGCGGCUCUCUGGGACGGUACUGACGCUGAGACGCGGAAAGCGUGGGGAGCGAACGAGG
rnacentral:rRNA from 1 species